rnacentral:rRNA from 1 species
AGAGUUUGAUCCUGGCUCAGGAUGAACGCUGACGGCGUGCCUAACACAUGCAAGUCGAACGGGAACAGAAUGAAACCUAGUGAUUUCUGUUUCAGUGGCGGACGGGUGAGUAACGCGUGGGUAACCUGCCUUGCACUGGGGGAUAACACUUAGAAAUAGGUGCUAAUACCGCAUAAGCGCACAAUACCGCAUGGUAGAGUGUGAAAAACUCCGGUGGUGCAAGAUGGACCCGCGUCUGAUUAGCCAGUUGGCGGGGUAACGGCCCACCAAAGCGACGAUCAGUAGCCGGCCUGAGAGGGUGAACGGCCACAUUGGGACUGAGACACGGCCCAAACUCCUACGGGAGGCAGCAGUGGGGAAUAUUGCACAAUGGGGGAAACCCUGAUGCAGCAACGCCGCGUGAGUGAAGAAGUCAUUCGUGAUGUAAAGCUCUAUCAGCAGGGAAGAAAAUGACGGUACCUGACUAAGAAGCCCCGGCCAACUACGUGCCAGCAGCCGCGGUAAUACGUAGGGGGCAAGCGUUAUCCGGAUUUACUGGGUGUAAAGGGAGCGUAGACGGCGAGACAAGUCUGAAGUGAAAUGCCAGUGCUCAACACUGGAACUGCUUUGGAAACUGCCUGGCUGGAGUGCGGGAGAGGUAAGUGGAAUUCCUAGUGUAGCGGUGAAAUGCGUAGAUAUUAGGAGGAACACCAGUGGCGAAGGCGGCUUACUGGACCGUAACUGACGUUGAGGCUCGAAGGCGUGGGGAGCGAACAGGAUUAGAUACCCUGGUAGUCCACGCGGUAAACGAUGAUUACUAGGUGUCGGGGAGCUAGAGCUUUCCGGUGCCGCCGCAAACGCAAUAAGUAAUCCACCUGGGGAGUACGUUCGCAAGAAUGAAACUCAAAGGAAUUGACGGGGACCCGCACAAGCGGUGGAGCAUGUGGUUUAAUUCGAAGCAACGCGAAGAACCUUACCCGGCCUUGACAUCCCCCUGACAGUAUCUGUAACGGAUAUUUCCUUCGGGACAGGGGAGACAGGUGGUGCAUGGUUGUCGUCAGCUCGUGUCGUGAGAUGUUGGGUCAAGUCCCGCAACGAGCGCAACCCCUGCCCCCAGUAGCCAGCAUGAAAGGUGGGCACUCUGGGGGGACUGCCGGGGAUAACCCGGAGGAAGGCGGGGAUGACGUCAAAUCAUCAUGCCCCUUAUGGCCGGGGCUACACACGUGCUACAAUGGCGUAAACAGAGGGAAGCGAGACAGCGAUGUUAAGCGAACCCCAAAAAUAACGUCCCAGUUCGGAUUGCAGGCUGCAACCCGCCUGCAUGAAGCUGGAAUCGCUAGUAAUCGCGGAUCAGAAUGCCGCGGUGAAUACGUUCCCGGGUCUUGCACUCACCGCCCGUCA